CACACACACACACACACACAGGCACACGCACACGCACACAAAUGAAGGCAAACUAUAAAGUGAAACAUCUGUUGCUCAGAUGAGUAUUUGGAACACUGAGUGCUUCGGAUUAUCCUCAGAAGGUGUGUUAGGAGGUGGCUCUCUGUGGACUUGGCCCCAGGGGAGGUCAACCCGACUCUCUCGGCCUGUUGGCUCAGCAAUUUCCCAGUGGUCAGCCCGUCUUGCCAUAAUCAUAUGCUGGCGCCCCAAGCCUGUUUCUUAACUGUACUCUGUACCUUCUAAUGAAAGCAUCCCAAAAUAUCUCCAACCGCCCAAACUCUGGGGCAGCCAUGACCUCAGACUGGACGGCUGGACACACUGCAUUUGCUCAGACAGAAUGAUAAAAAUCUCCCCGCCCUGA